GGGGAAUAAUAAAUUUUUUUUUUUACAGCGCUUGUAAUAAUGCAGUCGACGAGCUCUCCCAAAUUGAUUUUAUGCUUGCAUAAAUGAUUUUUGGAUUCGGAGCGAGUGGCGAACUGGUGAGUAACACGUGGGUAACCUGCCCCGAAGCGGGGGAUAACAUUUGGAAACAAGUGCUAAUACCGCAUAAUUAGUUGGAACCGCAUGGUUCCAACUUGAAAGAUGGCUCUGCUAUCACUUUGGGAUGGACCCGCGCCGUAUUAGUUAGUUGGUGAGAUAAAAGCCCACCAAGACGAUGAUACGUAGCCGACCUGAGAGGGUAAUCGGCCACAUUGGGACUGAGACACGGCCCAGACUCCUACGGGAGGCAGCAGUAGGGAAUCUUCCACAAUGGACGAAAGUCUGAUGGAGCAACGCCGCGUGAGUGAUGAAGGUUUUCGGAUCGUAAAACUCUGUUGUUAUAGGGGGAGCAAGUGAUAGAGUAACUGUUAACACUUUGACGGUAUUUAACCAGAAAGCCACGCCUAACUACGUGCCAACAGCCGCCGGUAAU
rnacentral:rRNA from 1 species